rnacentral:sRNA from 1 species
UGUCGGUGGAUAAUGAAUGUUUCUACCACCAUCUCACCAAACCAUGUUUUUCGUUUCGCGCCC